GCGGGGGAGGGGCGCGGGCGGCGGCGCGGGGAGCCGGGGCUGGGGGCGCGCGGACGCCCCUCCCCCGAGCAGGGAGGCGGGACGCGGCGGGGGGCGGGGCCGAGGGCGGGGCCCGGGCCGGCGGGGGGCGGGGCCGCGCGGUGGGCGGGGCGCGCGGCGGCCAAUGGGCGCGCGCGCGGCCGGCCCCGCCCCCGCCUCCCGCGGCGGCUGCUGCAUAGUCAUGAGCGCAGGCCGGCGCUGCGUCAGCGGAAGCGGCGCGCGGCGGCUGUUUCCGACCCGAUAAAGCGGCGUUGUCCCCGCGCGCCGGCCGCAGCCUCGCAGCGCCCCGUCCGCGCCCGCGUCGCCCGCUCCCUGCCCGCCCGGCCGGCCGGCCGACCGCAGCCGCCGCCGGGCCCCGCCGCCGCCCCGCCGCCCCGCCGCCGCCCCCGCGCCCGGGGCCCCGCGCCCCCGCCGCCUCCGCCCGGCCCGGCCCGGCCCGGCCGCCCCGCCGCGCCGCCGCCCCCGCGGCCCCGGCCGGAGGAGACAGGUGAGCGGCCGCCUCGCCCGCCCGCCCGGGCCCCACCUGGGCGCCCGCACCUGCCGCCUCCCGCCCCCGCCCCCGCCCCCGCGCGGCCCGGCCUCCGGCUCCCCGGCCGCCCGCUCCGCGCCCGCCCGCCGGCACCUCGUCCCCGGGGAGGGACCCCCCUCCUCCUGCCCUUCCUCCUCCUCCUCCUCCUCUUCCCCACCCGCCGGGCCCCCCCCUCCCCGGGCUGCACCUGCCGGAGCCUCCCGGCACCCCCCCCCCGUCCCCGCUCGCUCACGCUUCUCUGCCCGGAGGGGAGCCUCGCGCCCUUGCCCCGGCCCUGCCCCCGCCCCCGCCCCCGCCCCGCCGGCCUAACCUCCAUCCAUCCAUCCAUCCGUCUCCCGACUUCUGAGAGUCCAGCCCGGCCCCCUCUGUCUCGGCCUGCCCCCCUGCGCCCCCCUGCACACGCACACCCUCAGCACGCCCAUCCAGUACUGCACACCUCGGCUCCGAGCUGCCCCCCCGGGCCGUGCCUGUCUUACGGGCAUGGCCCCCAGUCCGUCCCUGUGAAGGCACCUUGA
rnacentral:lncRNA from 12 species